CUUUGACCGGUUGCAUCCACGGUAUCAACAUCCCAAGGAGCCGUGGAACCCAGACACUGAGGACUCAAGAUGAUUUCAGAAGACCCGAGUUCAAAUUUUGCCUCUGCCCCCCAUUUGCUGUGGAGCCUCGCUUUCAGGACACAGAGGAACAAUAGCUCUUACUUUUGUCCUGCUCGCCUCCCUUCUCAAGCUGGUUUCUGAAGCUCUGGCAAAACAGUGUGCUCCCGAAAAGUGUCAAGAAAGCUGCUGCUGCUGCA